rnacentral:rRNA from 1 species
GAUGAACGCUGGCGGCGUGCCUAAUACAUGUAAGUCGAGCGAACAGACGAGGAGCUUGCUCCUCUGACGUUAGCGGCGGACGGGUGAGUAACACGUGGAUAACCUACCUAUAAGACUGGGAUAACUUCGGGAAACCGGAGCUAAUACCGGAUAACAUGUUGAACCGCAUGGUUCAACAGUGAAAGACGGUCUUGCUGUCACUUAUAGAUGGAUCCGCGCCGCAUUAGCUAGUUGGUAAGGUAACGGCUUACCAAGGCAACGAUGCGUAGCCGACCUGAGAGGGUGAUCGGCCACACUGGAACUGAGACACGGUCCAGACUCCUACGGGAGGCAGCAGUAGGGAAUCUUCCGCAAUGGGCGAAAGCCUGACGGAGCAACGCCGCGUGAGUGAAGAAGGUCUUCGGAUCGUAAAACUCUGUUAUUAGGGAAGAACAAAUGUGUAAGUAACUAUGCACGUCUUGACGGUACCUAAUCAGAAAGCCACGGCUAACUACGUG